UGCACCUGCCCUUCUCACUCUUGCACCAAUAUCUCCUGCAAGCAAAGCACCUCGGCUGAUGGUCGCCCUACUUGCACCUCACACCGCAUCCCUCCCAUUGCCAUUUCCUCUCUUUUCACUUGUUUCUCUCAAUAAAGUUCUCCUGCAUCAAAGCCUGAGACGUCUCUGCCUCCUUUAUUCUACCAGGGCUUUUCCAACUUCACCCCCUACACAGCCAGGCCUCAACAGGCCAGCGGGGUGGGUGGAAAAGGGCCACAAGACCCCUCCUAGGAAAUAUGUCACCACCACCACCAGCAGGAGCACUGACUGGCUCCUGAGGGUCUGUCACAAAGUUACACCAGCCCAUCACUCAUCACACUCAGGCUUUGACAUGACAACACUCCCUGGGACACCCCAACCCUUUGCUCCCACCACAAACACCUCCAGUCCCUCUUACACCAUCUCCCCUCACAGACAGGUCCCAGGACCACCCACACAAGGCCCCAUGUCCUUGUCCCCUCGUGCUCCAAGGACCUUGGGGAACCCAUCCAGGCUGUCCAGCUCACCACCCACCCUUCUGCGGGGUCCUCAGCUCACCCAGCUCUGGGCCCUUGUUGCACUGUCCCUCUGGCUGCCCGCUCCCCAUUCCUCCUGCCUGGGAGUCCCUGGGCCAGGAUCUCACCUUCUUGUGGGUCUUCAACUGAUCCCUGGUGGAGAUGCCCCGGCCACCAUCCCCUGCUCACUGCAGGGCCCCACAGGGACCCAUUCCGGGGGUCUCUGCUCCACCAGCCUCCCUCUCCAGGGGCCCUGCAUCACCUGUGCACGUGACCCCAAGCCCCCAUCCCUCUGCUCUCACGUCCCACAGCAAGUCCCCUUUGUGAGGUCACUGUCACUGGGCAUUCCUCAGGCACAGCCUGGAGACCUUGGAACCAGGGGCAGGGACAAGCCUGGCACCCUGCUCUGCUGACAACUUGGGGCUCUGCGGGGUUGGGGUUGAUCUUUGCAGGACACCAAGUGCCCACCAAGCCCCUCUCUCAAUCUCUUCCCUCCAGUGGACAAAAGAGAGAAGAAGAUGGAGAAAGGUUCCUGAGUGGAGUUAAAGACAGGGAGUUCAGUCACCAAUCACCAUCAUGGGCAAAACAGACUCCACCCAGGG
rnacentral:lncRNA from 1 species